AGUUUCAUAAGCCAAGGAAAAAGGGCUUGCACCGGUUGGUUUUCGUUUGGUAGUACGGUAUGCCCAUAACACGUUUGGCAGUUCUUCUGACCAUUUGCCCUUGCGUUGUUCUAGCUUUCUCUUCAAGCAAUCAAAGAUUGUACGAUUAGUUUUCUCGGCUUGCUUGUUUCUGUUUGGGCCUAAAUUUGGCACGCCAAAGUUCAAAA
rnacentral:lncRNA from 1 species